AUUGGCCAGUCGGUAAACCAGGGGCGGCGAAGUAGUACAUGGGAGACCUAAGAAUAUUUCUAAAAUUUAAAAGACAACAGUGAUAGAAUAUCAUGGAGAAAACGUACGUGGUAAUGGUUUGCCUCGUAGCAAUUGUUAUACAGGUGGUGCGCCCUGCUCUCUCUGGAGGAGCUGGUGUAGAGGCGCGUGGUGAAACAAUGAUGGAGGCGCUGAAACACAGAGUACGACGCAACAGUGGUUCCACGACAACAACUACCCCUCCUCCACCUAUAAGACAACAAUUGAGGCAGAACGAAAAAGAAGAAAAAGAAAGAAAGAGGAAAGAGAAAAAGGAGGAAGAGAAAAAAGAGGAAGAGAAAAAGGAGGAAGAGAAAAAGGAGGGAGAGAAAAAGGAGAAAAACAGAAAGAAUAGAAAAGAAAGGACAAAGACAAAGUCAAAAUGCAAUUAAUGUUAAGAAGAAGAUAAACCUCCCCGUGUGCAACGUCUUGGACGACGAGAUAGAGGGACAAAGAUAGAGAACAGUUUUGUACAAGAAGCGAUCAUUUUUUAUUUAUUUUUUUCUGAAUUAAAGUAAUCUCAUCUUCUUAGCUAGUAAUGAUUUUUUUUCAAUUCAAUUCACUUUAUUUCAAAUGUUUCAAAUACAGUGUUUUACAUUGACAUGAAAAGACAUUGAUUUGAAGCCGUAAAUAUAGGCCUAAAUCUUAAUCUGUAACAGGUCUAUGGGUCACAUACUGGGAUCUGCACAAUUUUGGUGACUAAGUCUAUAACUACUAUCUCAGAAAUACAAUGGAAUAUUUAAUAUUGAUCAAUAAACGUUUUGCAUGAAAAUAAGUCUUGCAUCCUCCGCUAGUCUCUCCCAAUCUUAUUCCCAAUUCAAUCAAUUAAAAGGGUGGUACAAAGGGGUUUGAGGAAAGACAGUGGAGAUCAAAGAUUAAUUUGCAAGAAAAUUA
rnacentral:misc_RNA from 1 species